rnacentral:rRNA from 1 species
UACGUAGGGUCCGAGCGUUGUCCGGAAUUACUGGGCGUAAAGAGCUCGUAGGUGGUUUGUCGCGUUGUUCGUGAAAACUCACAGCUUAACUGUGGGCGUGCGGGCGAUACGGGCAGACUUGAGUACUGCAGGGGAGACUGGAAUUCCUGGUGUAGCGGUGGAAUGCGCAGAUAUCAGGAGGAACACCGGUGGCGAAGGCGGGUCUCUGGGCCGAUAUUGACGCUGAGGAGCGAAAGCGUGGGGAGCGAACAGG